GGGAACCCGGUGCGAUCCCGGGACGGUCCCGCCGCUGUGAUCCGGACCCGUCCGGGAGUCAGAUCCC
rfam:Pseudonocardia sp. CNS-139 NODE_65_length_38728_cov_116.461_ID_229, whole genome shotgun sequence.